rnacentral:rRNA from 1 species
AUGCAGUCGAGCGGCCAGCACAGGUGAACUUGUUCCCUGGGUGGCGAGCGGCGGACGGGUGAGUAAUGGCUGGGAACCUGCCCUGAUGUGGGGGAUAACAGUUGGAAACGACUGCUAAUACCGCAUGAUGUCUACGGACCAAAGAGGAGGACCUUCGGGCUUCUCGCGUCAGGAUGGGCCCAGUUGGGAUUAGCUAGUUGGUAGGGUAAUGGCCUACCAAGGCGACGAUCCCUAGCUGGUUUGAGAGGAUGAUCAGCCACACUGGAACUGAGACACGGUCCAGACUCCUACGGGAGGCAGCAGUGGGGAAUAUUGCACAAUGGGCGCAAGCCUGAUGCAGCCAUGCCGCGUGUGUGAAGAAGGCCUUCGGGUUGUAAAGCACUUUCAGCAGUGAGGAAGGUGGUGUAGUUAAUACCUGCAUCAUUUGACGUUAGCUGCAGAAGAAGCACCGGCUAACUCCGUGCCAGCAGCCGCGGUAAUACGGAGGGUGCGAGCGUUAAUCGGAAUUACUGGGCGUAAAGCGCAUGCAGGCGGUCUGUUAAGCAAGAUGUGAAAGCCCCGGGCUUAACCUGGGAACCGCAUUUUGAACUGGCAGGCUAGAGUCUUGUAGAGGGGGGUAGAAUUUCAGGUGUAGCGGUGAAAUGCGUAGAGAUCUGAAGGAAUACCGGUGGCGAAGGCGGCCCCCUGGACAAAGACUGACGCUCAGAUGCGAAAGCGUGGGGAGCAAACAGGAUUAGAUACCCUGGUAGUCCACGCUGUAAACGAUGUCUACUUGGAGGUUGUGACCUAGAGUCGUGGCUUUCGGAGCUAACGCGUUAAGUAGACCGCCUGGGGAGUACGGUCGCAAGAUUAAAACUCAAAUGAAUUGACGGGGGCCCGCACAAGCGGUGGAGCAUGUGGUUUAAUUCGAUGCAACGCGAAGAACCUUACCUACUCUUGACAUCCAGAGAACUUUCCAGAGAUGGAUGGGUGCCUUCGGGAACUCUGAGACAGGUGCUGCAUGGCUGUCGUCAGCUCGUGUUGUGAAAUGUUGGGUUAAGUCCCGCAACGAGCGCAACCCUUAUCCUUGUUUGCCAGC